UUUUUUAAUCCAAUAAAUGUG
rnacentral:piRNA from 1 species